rnacentral:lncRNA from 1 species
GGAGACCGGUGCAGGUGGUCGGGCGCUCUUGGACCCCGGCGGUCCGUGAGAGCGGAGGUCCGGACCUGCCACCCGGACCCGAGACUCACAGCGAAGCCCUAGACGGGUUGACGAACGGUUCUCCGCGGCAGGGACUGUGGGACUGAGCCGCCAGGAUUCGGCGGCGCGGGGCGGAGGAACGCGCUCGCCUGCCCGCCUCGGUCCUAAGGCGGCUUCCUCUGCGAGGCCCUCUGUCCACUGGUUCCGGGUUCUCCGGGCUCUCCGCACUGCAGGGUCGGAGUCAGGAGGGGUGAUCUCCACCUCCACCGAGGGACAGGUGUACUGCAGCACCACUCGUCACCCUAUCCCCGCUCCUGAGUGAGCGUCCCUGCGAUUGUCUCUUGAUAUCAUCCCUUAGACUGUCAGGAUGGUGUCUUGGAUGAUCUGUCGCCUGGUGGUGUGAGUAUGGCCACUGUGAGACACCCGCCUCCCCUUAUUCCCGGAUGCCAACCUGCCUUUGGGUGGAAAAUGGGAAAGUUUGGUAAAGAAGGGAAUUUUCUGAACUCCAUGACCCCGUUCCCCAGCACACACUUAACGGUCCUGGAGGUCUGAAGUGGGACCUGGUCACUGCAUACCUUGUUUCCACCCUGCAGCCUUCUGGCCUGACAGAGACCCUUCCAACAUGCGCACACGCUGCAGACAGGUGCUGGUAGGGCUCAGGGCCUUUACCACCCACAGCCCUGUGAGAAGGUGAUUAGGUGCUGCUGUGGGCGGAGAAUCCAGAUGCCUCCUUCCCAUCUGGGCAGCCACACGACCCUCCAAAGUAGCUUCAGUCUCUGAAGUCUGCACUUCACUUUUGAAUACUCCAACACCUGGCUCAAACACCCCUCACUGCGUGCCGGUGGCCCUGGGCCUGAUUACCUGUAGUGGGAAGGGACAGCCUCGUGUUGUCACCCACCUUGUUGUGUGUUCUCAAUCUGUCCUUGUACCCAUGGGCCACCAGCACAGGCCUGGGCAGGCUUGGGAUGUUUGUAAACAGGAGGGUGGGGAGGCAGCCUCCAGGGCACUGACUCAGGCACCCAGGCUUGUGCAAGCCAAGCGGGAA